rnacentral:tRNA from 1 species
GGUAAAGUGGCCGAGCAGGCGGCGGAUUGUAGUCCCGAAGACGGAGGUUUGAGCCCUCCCUUUACCA